AAGGAUGUCAACCUUUCCUGUCAGGAAGCAUGCCAGCCCUGCAGCUGCUGAAGAUCUCACCCUCCUGGGAACAUAGGAUUGUGCUACCCAACAAACAUGCAGCCUUUCCAGUCUUCAUUCAGUGCCAUUUGAUCAAGUACUUCCUGUCCCUACCUAGCUCCAAAGGUGAGACAAAGGCUGGGGGUUUCAUUGCCGAGGUAUCUGGAGUGCUGUGGCCAUACUAGCAAGUGUCCUGCAAGUGUUCCUGCUCUGGAGCAGAAAAGAUUGCCCUUGAGAAAGGGUCCUGCUGAAAUGCUUCGGACUUGAAUAAAUAUCUAAAUAGCUGA